CACUUUCUUUUGUUGACACUUCUUUUAUAUGCAAAUUAUUAUGUAACUCUGUUAUAUACAAGUAGCAUAAUUUUUUAUAUUCUAUGGCCAAUUGUCAAGAAAGGGUAAUUCUACUUGGAGUCUUCAACCUUUGAUAAAGGUGAUAUUUGAGUUCCCAAUUGACCAAAUAUAGCACCAGAGUGCUUAACCUUUCAAAACUGGGCAAGAGUGGUCCGUACACGAGUAAAAAUGUUGGCUAAAGCCCCUUGGACAACCCCCUGGACGUCCAGGGCGUUGUCACCCAAGAAUAGCUCAAAAAUGUUACCUAUUGAGGACCAUGGUUGCACUGUUUCGAAAUGAUAGGUAUUCGGAUUGCACAUUUGAUAGGUCGAGGAUCCAGCAGUCACACUCAUCAGAAGUUGGGCCUCCAUCUCGAACCAAAAAAAGGCCCACGUCCCAGUUCGGACCGGGCCUCAUUCCUUGCCCAACCGAGCUUAUCAAACUCGGGAGCACACAGAUUAAAUGGAACCAAAACCCUGUUAAUUUCCCGCCUAAAUCGAACACAGUAGCUUGCGGUCGCGGGGGAGCACACAAUAAUAAGGGAGAGGGUGCAUUUCGAAAUCGCUGCCUUGUUCAGUGAAAGUUUACAUUGCGACAGAGCUAACCAGCGGUUAUUUAUUAGGCAUUUUUUCAAAUUUAAGACCGCAGAACUGCAUUUAAUUCUCUUUUUGAUUUCAUAUUGAUCAAUUAUUUGAAUUUUAAGCUUUGAGCUUGUGAUAGGUUGACUCGGUGAAUUUCCGAAGAAAUUUUUAGUUUGUACCAUAUUGGCCCAUUUUUUGUGAAAAAUGAGUUUUAUAAUAGUUAUUUUUUGGAUAAAGCGUGUUUAAAAGGUAGGGAAAUAGUUUGGCUUUAUGUGCAAAAUUAUUUUAUUGGAAGAAUGUGUGACCGAAAAUAACAUUGGAGAAAAAUUUUGAGAUAAUGCGGCUCAAACAAGGGCUAAAAUUAGAAAUGGUUUGUUAUGUUAC
rnacentral:lncRNA from 1 species